UUAGCAUUUUUCUCGAACACCACAAAGCGGCCUUUGAGGUGGCGGGAACGGAGGGAAGAAUCAAGCUCACCAACUUCGGAGCCAGGUAGCUUCACACAGAUCAUUCGCCAUGAAUGCCUACGCCAUUUUGACUCUCCUCAUCCUGGGACACUUGUGCCAAAUUCAAGCGGCCACGCUGAGUGGGCCGGCAAUGACGAAGGACGAUGCGAGGAAGCUGCUCACCGAGGAACUUUCUCGUUCCAUCGUGGACCACCGUGCCGAACUCAUCGAAGUUCUCAAGGGAAUCGAAGGCAAAGCCGAUGAAACCAACGAGCAGAUCCAUCCAGUCGUUGCGGUAGUAGUUCCCGUAGUGGAGCGCCUCGUAACCGGUGCCGCAGCAGGAGCUAUUGGAGCCCUUGUCGGAAAGUUACUUGAAUCAGACCGAAAUCAAUCUCCCGCUCCAUCUUUCUGAAUAAAGUAAAUUGUGCCCCAUUUAUGUUUAGCAAGCCCCCUGUUUAUUUACC